rnacentral:lncRNA from 1 species
AUGGCCUCCGCGGCAGAAGGCCGCUCCUGGGCGCUGCGUCUGGCCAUGUGCAGGAGGAGCGUCUUGAGCCUGCGUGGCAGGGCCAGCUUGCGGUCUUGGGGGACACUGAACUUGGCGGCUGUCCACAGGACCGCGGCCACACAAUAUACAGAGGCCUGGGUGGGGAGAAGGGUGGGCCACAGGCUCAGAACUGCCCACGAGCGGGGGCCGUCCUCAGAGCCUGGAGGCCCCACCACAGACCCUAAGCUGCACGCCAGGCUCUGGCCUGGGGCUCUGACCAGUACCCACAGGCGUCAGAGCCUCAGCAUGAGCAGAAGACCUGGGCCCUGGCCACACCUUCCAGCUCGCUCUCCACGAAGGGAAGGUGGCCCCGCGGGGGCCCGAGGCCCAGAGCCCCCCAAAAUCCUACUGUGCUGCUAAAUGCUGACAACAGGCUCGCUGAACAGAAGCACGUCCUCCCGGUGCCCAUAGAGGUCUGUUCUAGGAUGUGCUGACACGAGGGGCGUGGCACACACACUGGAGUGUGUCACGGAAGGGCCGAUGCUCCUCCCUGCAAGCUCGUGCAGUCAGCCACUUCUCCCCGAGGGCCCCCCUGAUUUCCAUCUGACUCUUGUACCUGCAGCCGACCUGUGACCAACAGGAGCUUCCGGCCUGCGUGGGGCCAAUACCUUUGUUUCUCUCAAAAAGUGAAAGCGAAACCAGAGACACAGCGCCCUUCUGUGCCGAGUCCGGUGCCCAUGGCCGAACCCCGCGGGGUCGUCCUGGACCCGACGCACUCUGGUUCAACCUUGUCAUAUUCAUCCAGCACAGCCGUCAUUAAGUCCAGCCCACUGACAAGACGAGGAAUCAAGCCCUGAGUUCAGCGCUGGUGGAUUUCCAUGGUGUGAAGACUCAGCGUGGCCGGGUCCCAGCUGUCGGUGCAGUGGAGCCCGGGGGUGGGGGACAGGGGGGCCCUUCCUAUGGGGCUCCCGCCCGGAAGCACAGACACAGCCGACUAUACCAAGUCAUUGUCCAGUCGCUCAGCUGUGUCCGACUCUCUGCGACCCCAUGAAUCGCAGCACUCCAGGCCUCCCUGNNNNNNNNNNNNNNNUGGAGCUUGCUCAAACUCAUGUCCAUCAAGUCGGUGAUGCCAUCCAAUCACCUCAUCUUCUGUCGUCCCCGUCUCCUCCUGCUCUCAAUCUUCCCCGGGGUCAGAGUCUUAAUGGUAAUGGCUUUUAUUUAUUGAGCACUUCCUUUGUGCCAGGGCUGGACUUGACUUCUAUCUUAUUUACUUUUAGAGUCAGUAGAGACU